UACGUAGGGGGCAAGCGUUGUCCGGAAUCAUUGGGCGUAAAGAGCGUGUAGGCGGUUCGGUAAGUCUGCUGUGAAAGUCGGGGGCUCAACCCUGGGAUGGCCGGUGGAUACUGUCGGGCUAGAGUCCGGAAGAGGAGUGUGGAAUUCCUGGUGUAGCGGUGAAAUGCGCAGAUAUCAGGAGGAACACCGAUGGCGAAGGCAGCACUCUGGGACGUGACUGACGCUGAGACGCGAAAGCGUGGGGAGCAAACAGG
rnacentral:rRNA from 1 species